ACUCGGCUAGUCGUCUACAUAGUAUGUCUCUGUUAAUCGAGCCAUAGGCCUUCCUGAAGUCUAUGAACGCUGCAAAUGUGGAUAGCUUCUUUUUCUUCCUCGUAUCGACGACAGACGUUAACAUUGAGAGGUGAUCCACCGUACUCCUGCCCUUCAUGAAGCCGUUCUGCUCCUCCACGAAUAUGUCAUUUCUCUCCGCCCAUGUUGUUAGUCUGUUGUUUAGUAUGUUGCAGUAGAGCUUGUAGACAACCGAUGACAGUGUAAUUCCUCUGUAAGAUAGUGGGUCUCUAGGAUCUGCACCGUUACCUUUAGGAAUAGGAACACGAUGCAACACCCUCUUCGGACACGCUGGGCAGUAAGCGUUAAACGUUCCAAAUCCUGUAUAUGAACUUAUCAAGUUUCAAAACAGACCAGGCUAACGAUCGAACACGAUGUUCGGCCUCAAAACAAAACCAGCUAAUGAUGCAACAGCCUGUUCGGCCGCGCUGACCGGUAAGAGUUCAACGUUCUAAAUCCUGUUUAUGAGGUAAUCGAGUGUCAAAACAGAACUGGCUAACAAUGCACCACCAUGCUCGGACGCGCUGACUGUUACUCUGUUUGGUAAGAUGUUACCAGAUAUGAAAAGGUAUAUUGUGUCACUAAUAUUAAUAGAGAGUAAAAUUAAUCCACGAAGCAAUAUAAGCAUGUACCGUUCUAGUAAACGGAAUCUCUGUCGGUCACUUUUCCGCUAAAGUUUUCAGAAUUUUUCGAGUAAGGGUUUCAAUGUAUUAUCAUACCAUCUGAAAACCACGGAAUCAUUUUUAAGCAUAUUCUUUUUACUGUAAUGUUUCACUAUUUUGUCGUUAGGAAUGCAGGGAGAUCGUUAACUACCGAAAUAUAGACACUGGUGUCUGAAAGUUACCGACAAUAGACUUUGUAUUAGACUAUAUUGUAGGAAUAUUGCAAACGUCCUAUUUGGACACAAAAUCGUGAAAGUCAGGCCAAAUUUGCGUGUAAAAAUCUAUAUUGUAUGAGUCGUGUAUAUGCAAUUUACCGGGUGCCUCUGUACUUAAGGCAAACCAGUGACUGCCUGGCUGCUCCUUGUCCGUGUAACAAAUAAACAGAAGAGGAUAUUUUAAUCCUUUCACCCCACCAAGCGUAAAGCUAUUUUAGUACAUAUCUCUUCCAAAGUAUCCCUGCUACUGAUACUGCGAUAGAUGUUUUUAAUAAAAGGGUCAACAACCGCAAAUCUCGCCCCUACAGCAUUUUAGUACGAGAGGUAACGUGUGUCCAUGAUCUGCAUCAGUGUAUAGUAGCAUUUCUAAAGUGGUCAAAUUCUAUGAUACUGUCCGCCAAUGCAGGUAGCAAAAGUAUAGUAAGUCUCCAUGGUCCCCUUGACAGGGUUUUAGAGAUUAUAUGUAUUUAUCAUGAAUUUAGAACUGAUUUUAGUCACGAUGUGGCUGAAAUAUUGCCGAUGUGACUUAACAUCUUAACUCACUCACUAGAAUACUGUCCAGCUCUCUCUAACAGACUAGUGUCUGAGCUCCGGGCGUUGGCUGCGCAAAUUUCAUCUCCAUGUCGACCUGACCAGAGUUUUUUUGUUACACGUGUGACAUGUCAGCACCCAAAUUGUACGUUAAAUCGAAGACAAAUAGGGUGGUACCGUCUAAAAUGUCCAGAGUCAUGGUGUCUGUGGAAUUUCUCCCUAGACACCCGUAUUUCUAAAUAGCUCCAGGUAUGUCUUAUACAUCCGGGUCGAGUCGGGUUCGAAAUUCCACAACUCAUAUCUACCUCCUGACCAUUUACUUUAACUGUAAUUUCGGUCAAUCCAAAAGGUUGGAAAUGUAAAGGAGUUUUGUUUGAUAGCCCCGCAAAGGAUUCGUUCUAUUCUUUUACGGAUAUGUCCCAUAAUCAAAUGUUCAGAAUUAUAUUCUCUCAAGAAUUCUGGAAUAUCGUAUGCCGUGUUUUGCUUGAAUAAAAAAAAAUUAAAACAUC